rnacentral:misc_RNA from 1 species
UAUUUAUAUGUGAGUGUGUAAAAGAAGAGUAAUAAAUAAUGUAGGAAAUAAAAUUCAGUCAAAUGAACUGUUCUUGCUUCAACGAGUUUACAUAAAUGGAAUUCUGCAGUAAUAUUAUCUUGAUUAUGUCCUGCUUCAGCACUGAAACUGAAAAACACAUCAAAAUGACAAAUUACAUAAUUAUUAAAAAUUAUUGCUAGAAUAUUAGUAGAGAUUAUUAUUUACGGAUUACAUACAUAUAUACAGGUGCAUUUAGAAAAAUUAAUAUUGACAUUAUAAUUAAUAUUAUUCAGAUAGGAAUAUAUAGAAUUAUAUAUACGUCACACUACUUUAAUUAUAAUUAUUUAUGUAUAAUACAUAUAUUUGUUGUAAGUAUAAUUGGUGAGAGAAUUGUGAGGUAGAACUCGUCAAAAAGCAAUUAUUUAUAAAUAAUUCCUACACAUUCGUAAAUCCUAAGAUAUUUUUAUAAAUUCGUUUACCAUAUGUAACAAGUGGAAAAAUUCAGAACAAAUGAUUGUGACAGUUAAAUAUAUUUGAAAAUUAAGGCGUUAUGAAUAAUUCAUGGCAUAAAAACA